rnacentral:lncRNA from 1 species
AUGUUCGAAUUUUCUCUUCAAUUUUUGAAUUGGCAGAGAAAGAGAGAGGGUUUCUGGCUGGGUCUCGGGUGGGGUUGGAGGUGUUUUGGGUAGAGAGAAAAACUAAGGGUGAGAGAGAGGAAGAGAGGGAGAAGACAAGGACAGUAAGGCCGCCGCCGCUUGCAUCCCUAAGGACUCUGCUUCCACUCCUAAUAAGGAGAGCCCAAGAAGAGGACUUGCAAUGGCUACAAGUGAACCCAGAUCGAGUUCUCGAAAAUUGGGCUUGUAGA